rnacentral:lncRNA from 1 species
CCUAUUCCAGCUUUUUAUAUAAUUAUGUCCUCAACAACAUUUAUUGUGUUACACAUAUAGAAAGAAACAAAUACAUCUACCUUUCUAAUGUUUUCAAAAAACCUUGCAACAAUUUAUAACAAAAGCUGGACGUACGUACAUCAUCUAUCUAUCAGUAUUGAUAUCAUGUAUUCAAACCAUGAGAUCUAGAGAAAGAAAUAUAUCACCAUAUAUUUUCUGGAACUAAUUAAGCUCACAUGUGUCAAUAUGCCAUGAUAUUUGAUGAUGCCGUUGUCGAUCUUAUGCAAUCACCUAAGCAGCCGAACAGUAUAUGUAGUUAUUUACCCGAAAGUACUUCUUCGAUUUUAGAUCGAUGCAGGGGCAAAUUAAAGGCACCCAACAGUUGGGAGGACAUGUUUAUAACUAGCCUCCACCCAACUGUUAUACUAUAUGACUCCGGCUUAUUACAUAUAUAUAUAUAUAUAUAUAUAUAUAUAUAUAUAUAUAUAUCAAACCUGGAUCGGACCAAUAUGCUUCCAUUCCCCAAGGGACAGAAGAAGAAGAAGAAGAAGAAGAAGAAGAAAGUGAUAUUGAGUUAAGCUAGCUAGCUAUAACAUAUAUAGAAGGAGAAGCUGACCCGCCCCAGUACACUCAGAUUAUAUAGAGAGAUGCAGUACUGGAUGUACUAACUAGCUAGCUCGGAAGCAAGUAGCUAGGGUUUCUUCUUCUUCAAUUCUCGAGUGAAACUGCAUCUAGCUAGCAAGCUCUUCAUUAGGGAUGUAUCUUGAAAUCUUCUCUCUCUCUCUCUUUUCUAUUUCUUUUUCUGAAUUUAGAGGUUGCUGAUGAAGGUGUUAGGUGGUUAAAGUUGAUGAUCAUGUUGUGUUGUGGUGAUGAUAAAAGUUAUAAGGGAAGGAGGAGGACUAAUGAUGCUUGAGACAAGUAGUAAUAAGAGGACAUGAUGAUUGCUACCUCCAAAGCGUUUUGCGUUCAACCAAGGCCUACAAUUAAUUAAUUUCAUGUUAAUUGGAUAGUUGAUUUGACAAAUUUAUAAAAAUAAAUUAUACUAUUUAUAAUUCAUAUAGCAAAAUAUUUAAAUAUUUUUUAUUAUACAAGUAUUAUAUAAUUAUGUACAAUGUAUUAAAUAUGCUACACAAAUGUAAUGGGCUGGAAUCUAAAUCAUUUUUAUACGACUUAAAUCAUGAAGCCAUG